CCCUUAGAUGUUCUGGGCCGCACGCGCGCUACACUGACGAUGGCAACGAGUUUUUCCUUCGCCGAAAGGUGUGGGUAAUCUUUUGAAACAUCGUCGUGCUGGGGAUAGAUCAUUGCAAUUUUUGAUCUUGAACGAGGAAUUCCUAGUAAGCGCGAGUCAUCAGCUCGCGUUGAUUACGUCCCUGCCCUUCGUACACACCGCCCGUCGCUACUACCGAUUGAAUGGUUUAGUGAGGACUCCUGAUUGGCGCCGCCGCCCCGGCAACGGAGCAGCGGACUGCCGAAAAGUUGUUCAAACUUGAUCAUUUAGAGGAAGUAAAAGUCGUAACA
rnacentral:rRNA from 1 species